ACGAACGCUGGCGGCGUGCCUAAUACAUGCACGUAGAACGCACAGUUUAUACCGUAGCUUGCUACACCAUAAACUGUGAGUUGCGAACGGGUGAGUAACGCGUAGGUAACCUGCCUGGUAGCGGGGGAUAACUAUUGGAAACGAUAGCUAAUACCGCAUAAUAUUAAUUAUUGCAUGAUAAUUGAUUGAAAGAUGCAAUUGCAUCACUACCAGAUGGACCUGCGUUGUAUUAGCUAGUAGGUGAGGUAACGGCUCACCUAGGCGACGAUACAUAGCCGACCUGAGAGGGCGAUCGGCCACACUGGGACUGAGACACGGCCCAGACUCCUACGGGAGGCAGCAGUAGGGAAUCUUCGGCAAUGGACGAAAGUCUGACCGAGCAACGCCGCGUGAGUGAAGAAGGUUUUCGGAUCGUAAAGCUCUGCUGUAAGAGAAGAACGGGUGUGAGAGUGGAAAGUUCACACUGUGACGGUAUCUUACCAGAAAGGGACGGCUAACUACGUG
rnacentral:rRNA from 1 species